CUUUCCACUUGGGUGGUGGAGGGCCAUAGCCUGUGUCGUUGAAGCUAGGAUGCUCCGGCCAGGCUCCUACAUAUGGAGUAAGGCAUCAGAACUCGUUGAUUUAAUCAUAACUUACUAUGUAUAUUUGAUUAUUCACCGGUGUCUAUUAAUCCAACAAUGACAUUUCCUUCUUGCCCUGGCUCAAGCACGCCUCCGCUGAAUCCCAUGAAGUCCCAUGAUCGCGUCGUGUGAAGGCUUAGCUUGCGGCUAGGGAAUACAGAGAUAACUCCUUCCAUCUCUGCCACCAGACAUAUACAUAUAUGUAAAUCUUCAACCUCACUAAGCUUGGCUGCAAAUCCAUCGAAACUCUUUCCAUAACUAUGGACCAAUAAACCCUCUGCUGCGGAAGCACUGCAAAAAAUGGAAAAUUAAUAAAUUAUACUCAUUUUUCAACAAGUAGUGAUUUCAAUGCCAGUCAAGAAGAAUAUGAGCAACCUUCCUAGCACACUCUGCAGCAUGUUGUGAUGCGUGGAAGCGCUAUCUUGAGGUCGGUCCCCCAUGUACACGACGUGCAGCUAAUCAUGAAAAAGGAGAUAAGGGUAGGUGCUUAGGUGAAUGAGGAGCAACUGACAAAUAGAAAAUUAACGUACCUUGCGCUCAUCGUCACAGUGGCAGGUGAGCACGAAGCACGCGAGAAGCAAGGUGUACAAAGUCACGGCGUUCGCCAUUGUGAUGAGGUAAUGCAAUGUAGUUAGAGUAUCUUAGAUACAAGUGUUUUUAUAUGGUUUAGCUUGAGAAUUGCUUUCUCCGCUUAGCAUUGUUGUGAGGAAGAAAAGACAGAAGUAGAUGAUAGCCUUGCAUUGUUAAACUAUUUGUUGUGUUUGAUGAACAUCAACAUCUUUGGCGGCAAUGAUUAGCAAAUAUGUCCAAAUAUAGGAUUUUCUUGGGCA